UGAUCCAGCCAUGCCGCGUGUGUGAAGAAGGCCUUUUGGUUGUAAAGCACUUUAAGCAGUGAAGAAGACCUAACGGUUAAUACCCGUUAGCGAUGACAUUAGCUGCAGAAUAAGCACCGGCUAACUCUGUGCCAGCAGCCGCGGUAAUACAGAGGGUGCAAGCGUUAAUCGGAAUUACUGGGCGUAAAGCGAGCGUAGGUGGCUUGAUAAGUCAGAUGUGAAAUCCCCGGGCUUAACCUGGGAACUGCAUCUGAUACUGUUAGGCUAGAAUAGGUGAGAGGAAGGUAGAAUUCCAGGUGUAGCGGUGAAAUGCGUAGAGAUCUGGAGGAAUACCGAUGGCGAAGGCAGCCUUCUGGCAUCAUAUUGACACUGAGGUUCGAAAGCGUGGGUAGCAAACAGGAUUAGAUACCCUGGUAGUCCACGCCGUAAACGAUGUCUACUAGUCGUUGGGUCCCUUGAGGACUUAGUGACGCAGCUAACGCAAUAAGUAGACCGCCUGGGGAGUACGGCCGCAAGGUUAAAACUCAAAUGAAUUGACGGGGGCCCGCACAAGCGGUGGAGCAUGUGGUUUAAUUCGAUGCAACGCGAAGAACCUUACCUGGUCUUGACAUAUCUAGAAUCCUGCAGAGAUGCGGGAGUGCCUUCGGGAAUUAGAAUACAGGUGCUGCAUGGCUGUCGUCAGCUCGUGUCGUGAGAUGUUGGGUUAAGUCCCGCAACGAGCGCAACCCUUGUCCUUAGUUACCAGCGGGUUAAGCCGGGAACUCUA
rnacentral:rRNA from 1 species